UACGGGGGUUGCUCUGAGGGACCUGCUGUCUUGUGUCUGUAUUGCUGCCAUCGGUGAUGCCUCAGAGGAUCCCCAGCCGUCCCCAUUGGCUGAUGCGUCUGUCCGUCAUGACGUCUCAUCAUGACUCAUCAUCAUCAGGGUGGGUGAGUCUCCAGGACAAGCCAGGAAAGUACAGAAGAAGCCAAAGAGCCCUCCCACUAACAGGUUCCAGAAGCCAAGUCAGGGUCAGAAUGCCUCUGUCCCAGGUCAGCUAAACCGACAGGGGAGCUGGUACAGAAAUACCCUGGAGGACAGAGUGAGGCGCUCAGACAGCCUGAAGAAUCAUAACUCCCUGAGCUAACUGGUUCCUCCCUCAGUCCCUCUAUGACCCCUCACUCCCUGACCUUUGAUCCUUGACCUCUGG